GACGAACCGAGCGAACGUUGUUCGGAAUAACUGGGCUUAAAGGGCGCGUAGGCGGGCUGUCAAGUCUGGGGUGAAAUCCCGCGGCUCAACCGCGGAACUGCCUCAGAUACUGACGGCCUCGAGGGAGAUAGGGGCGAGCGGAACGAAUGGUGGAGCGGUGAAAUGCGUUGAUAUCAUUCGGAACUCCGGUGGCGAAGGCGGCUCGCUGGAUCUCUUCUGACGCUGAGGCGCGAAAGCUAGGGGAGCAAACGGG
rnacentral:rRNA from 1 species